GAUCAUUACAAUCCGUUUUAAAGAUUUAAUUGAAUCCAAGGAUUUAUUUUUAAAUUUUGUUUGGUUUACUUUAAAUCCCUUAUGUAUUUAUGCACACAAAACCAUGUAUGACUGUUAUUUAAAUAAGUUUCAUCUUUAUAACGACUCUCAUUUUUUUAACAAUGUAAGUUUUCAUUCAUUCGUUUGGUUUCUGUCAAUUUGCACCCUGUUUAUCUGGUCUACUGAAUACUUUUGAAUACGAACUGAUCACCAGGACAUUCAGCAAUGGAAUGUUAGUGGAAGGGAAGAAUUCGACGGCUGUGAUGCUUCAAUAUAAAUAGGAGCACGAUAUCGCUGGAAAGCUAAGCCUUUGUGCAGCCUUAGAAAACUCCACAGAGAAUCGAAGUAAAAGAACGUUUGAGUAUCUUACAAAUUAAAAAGUAACGAUGCAGGGAAAACCUUUAUGGAGACUAUUUCUGGAGGUGAUAAAAAAUUCAUCACGAUCCCAUGGGAAUAAUAUCUACCCCAUAUCAGCCAACCUUGUUGUCCUGGGAAUUAUAUUU